CUAGAUCGAGCAGGAGUUGAGUUCAUGAGUCCGGCAAAGAAAUGAUAAUUUGAUGGCAGCCAGAAGAGUGGCCCUUUCCAUGGAUGUCACAAGCUUAACCAGAUGGGUCAGCGUGGUCGAUAGAGGUCGCGCCCAUAUCUGACCUCCAUUAAGAUGGCGGCUUAUUUUCCUCUGUCGUCAUCUCUGUUCAAGUGAAACUAAUGUGGUAGCUGUGGUGGCACCAACAGUUGGGAAAUCGGAAGGCUGCUUAUCUUCCAAUCCAUGGAUGAGGAGGUUGAAGGCUGCUCUCUGACAUUUGUGCAAGGGCUGGGUGUGGGAGUUGGAGCCAACAAUGUUGGAAUUGCUUCAGGCAGAAGAAAUCCAGAUGUUAUGUCGACAGGAAAGCGCCUGCAUUGGAACCAUACUAUUCAUGUGAAGUAUGUUAUAAAUGCAAACUGAUCGGACAAUACUGUGCUAUUAACUGGAGUUCUUGAUUAUUUGAUGGGUGGGCCGAUUUGUCGUUUUGCUCUUUUAAAAUGUCUACUGGGUUGGGAAUAUAUUUUAUGGAGGAUUAGCUUUAAUCAGAAUGAAGGAAUUUUCCCAGGAGAAUUUAAUCUCCCUCCUCCUUCCCUCUCCUCUCCUACCCUCCCUUGUGGUUAUCCUUGUGUCUGUGUACCUGCCAAUUAUUUUGAAGUUCUAGCCAUACUGAGGAAUGGGCUUUUAUUUUAUCUUUUUAUCAAGCACUGAUUUUCAGUCCCGC
rnacentral:lncRNA from 1 species